rnacentral:rRNA from 1 species
GAGUUUNGAUCNNGGNUCAGGAUGAACGCNGGCGGCGUGCCUAAUACANGCAAGUCGAGCGAAUGGAUUAAGAGCUUGCUCUUAUGAAGUUAGCGGCGGACGGGUGAGUAACACGUGGGUAACCUGCCCAUAAGACUGGGAUAACUCCGGGAACCCGGGGCUAAUACCGGAUAACAUUUUGAACUGCAUGGUUCGAAAUCGAAAGGCGGCUUCGGCUGUCACUUAUGGAUGGACCCGCGUCGCAUUAGCUAGUUGGUGAGGUAACGGCUCACCAAGGCAACGAUGCGUAGCCGACCUGAGAGGGUGAUCGGCCACACUGGGACUGAGACACGGCCCAGACUCCUACGGGAGGCAGCAGUAGGGAAUCUUCCGCAAUGGACGAAAGUCUGACGGAGCAACGCCGCGUGAGUGAUGAAGGCUUUCGGGUCGUAAAACUCUGUUGUUAGGGAAGAACAAGUGCUAGUUGAAUAAGCUGGCACCUUGACGGUACCUAACCAGAAAGCCACGGCUAACUACGUGCCAGCAGCCGCGGUAAUACGUAGGUGGCAAGCGUUAUCCGGAAUUAUUGGGCGUAAAGCGCGCGCAGGUGGUUUCUUAAGUCUGAUGUGAAAGCCCACGGCUCAACCGUGGAGGGUCAUUGGAAACUGGGAGACUUGAGUGCAGAAGAGGAAAGUGGAAUUCCAUGUGUAGCGGUGAAAUGCGUAGAGAUAGGAGGAACACCAGUGGCGAAGGCGACUUNCNG